rnacentral:rRNA from 1 species
AGAGUUUGAUCCUGGCUCAGGAUGAACGCUAGCGGGAGGCCUAACACAUGCAAGCCGAGCGGUAUUGUUUCUUCGGAAACGAGAGAGCGGCGCACGGGUGCGGAACACGUGUGCAACCUGCCUUUAUCUGGGGGAUAGCCUUUCGAAAGGAAGAUUAAUACCCCAUAAUACUUUGAAUGGCAUCAUUUAAAAUUGAAAACUCCGGUGGAUAGAGAUGGGCACGCGCAAGAUUAGAUAGUUGGUAGGGUAACGGCCUACCAAGUCAGUGAUCUUUAGGGGGCCUGAGAGGGUGAUCCCCCACACUGGUACUGAGACACGGACCAGACUCCUACGGGAGGCAGCAGUGAGGAAUAUUGGACAAUGGGUGAGAGCCUGAUCCAGCCAUCCCGCGUGAAGGACGACGGCCCUAUGGGUUGUAAACUUCUUUUGUACAGGGAUAAACCUAUUUACGUGUAAAUAGCUGAAGGUACUGUACGAAUAAGCACCGGCUAACUCCGUGCCAGCAGCCGCGGUAAUACGGAGGGUGCAAGCGUUAUCCGGAUUUAUUGGGUUUAAAGGGUCCGUAGGCGGAUCCGUAAGUCAGUGGUGAAAUCUCAUAGCUUAACUAUGAAACUGCCAUUGAUACUGCGGGUCUUGAGUAAGGUAGAAGUAGCUGGAAUAAGUAGUGUAGCGGUGAAAUGCAUAGAUAUUACUUAGAACACCAAUUGCGGAGGCAGGUUACUAUGUCUUAACUGACGCUGAUGGACGAAAGCGUGGGGAGCGAACAGGAUUAGAUACCCUGGUAGUCCACGCCGUAAACGAUGCUAACUCGUUUUUGGGCUUUCGGGUUCAGAGACUAAGCGAAAGUGAUAAGUUAGCCACCUGGGGGAGUACGAACGCAAGUUUGAAACUCAAAAGGAAUUGACGG